GUGGCAGCCGCCGCGGUAAAACCAGCACCUCAAGUGGUCAGGAUGAUUAUUGGGCCUAAAGCAUCCGUAGCCGGCUCUGUUAGUUUUCGGUUAAAUCUAUAUGCUCAACAUAUAGGCCGCCGGGAAUACUACAAAGCUAGGGAGUGGGAGAGGUAGACGGUACUCCGUAGGAAGGGGUAAAAUCCUUUGAUCUAUGGAUGACCACCAGUGGCGAAGGCGGGUCUACCAGAACACGUUCGACGGUGAGGGAUGAAAGCUGGGGGAGCAAACCGGAUUAGAUACCCGGGUAGUCCCAGCUGUAACCUAUGCAAACUCAGUGAUGCAUUGGCUUGUGGCCAGUGCAGUGCCGCAGAGAAGUCGUUAAGUUUGCCGCCUGGGAAGUACGUACGCAAGUAUGAAACUUAAAGGAAUUGGCGGGGGAGCACCACAAGGGGUGAAGCCUGCGGUUCAAUUGGAGUCAACGCCAGAAAUCUUACCCGGAGAGACAGCAGAAUGAAGGUCAGGCUGAAGACUUUACCAGACAAGCUGAGAAGUGGUGCAUGGCCGUCGCCAGCUCGUGCCGUGAGGUGUCCUGUUAAGUCAGGUAACGAGCGAGAUCCUUGCCUCUAGUUGCCACCAUUACUCUCAGGAGUUGUGGGGCGAAUUAGCGGGACUGCCGUAGUUAAUACGGAGGAAGGAGAGGGCCACGGCAGGUCAGUAUGCCCUGAAACUCUGGGGCCACACGCGGGCUGCAAUGGUAGUGACAAUGUGUUCCGAAUCCGAAAGGAGGAGGUAAUCCAAAAACGCUACCACAGUUAUGACUGAGGGCUGCAACUCGCCCUCACGAAUAUGGAAUCCCUAGUAACUGCGUGUCAUUAUCGCGCGGUGAAUACGUCCCUGCUCCUUGCACACACCGCCCGUC
rnacentral:rRNA from 1 species